rnacentral:rRNA from 1 species
CCUACGGGAGGCAGCAGUGAGGAAUAUUGGUCAAUGGACGAGAGUCUGAACCCGCCAAGUAGCGUGAAGGAUGACUGCCCUAUGGGUUGUAAACGUCUUUUAUAUGGGAAUAAAAUGUUCCACGUGUGGGAGUUUGUAUGUCCCAUAUUAAUAAGGAUCGGCUAACUACGUGCCAGCCGCCACGGUAAUACGGAGGAUCCGAGCGUUAGCCGUAUUCAUUGGGUUUAAAGGGGGCGUAGGUGGAUUGUUAAGUCAGUUGUGAAAGUUUGCGGCUCAACCGUAGAAUUGCAGUUGAAACUGGCAGUCUUGAGUACAGUAGGGGUAGGCGGAAUUCGUGGUGUAGCGGUGAAAUGCUUAGAUAUCACGAAGAACUCCGAUUGCGAAGGCAGCUCACUGGACUGCAACUGACACUGAGGCUCGAAGGUGUGGGUAUCAAACAGGAUUAGAUACCCUAGUAGUC